rnacentral:ncRNA from 1 species
CUAGCGCACUUACGUUCAGGUGCCCCUUGUAUUGGGGUGAAACGGGAAACCGGUGCGUCCGUGCUGCCCAGGCAGACAGGACAAGGCCGGUGCUGCCCCCGCAACGGUAAGCGAGCCAGGCGUCUUGACCACUGGGCCACUGCAACGGCCUGGGAAGGACGAUGCCACGCACUGGAAGCCCUGCUUCCGCUCGCCAGCCCGGAGACCGGCCUGAUGCGUCGAUCUACA